GACGUAGGGUCCAAGCGUUGUCCGGAUUUACUGGGCGUAAAGAGCGCGUAGGCGAUCUGUUAAGUGUAGAGUGAAAUCUCCAGGGCUCAACCCGGAAACUGCUCUGCAUACUGGCAGACUGGAGGGACGCAGAGGUUUGUGGAAUUCCUGGUGUAGCGGUGAAAUGCGUUGAUAUCAGGAGGAACACCCAUGGCGAAGGCAGCAAACUGGGCAUCAUCUGACGCUGAGGCGCGAAAGCGUGGGUAGCAAACAGG
rnacentral:rRNA from 1 species